UCACAACGUCAACAUCAUCUUUAAACACUGUGCUGAAUACAGCAGUCACUCUGUCUUUCUUGGCCUCGACGUACAUGGUCUCAUCAUCACGGUAAUGGAUCACAGCUCUCCUCUCUCCCUUUUGCCCCUCUUCUUGAAACUUGAAAUAUUUUUAGAACAAAGCAGCAUGCCAGCUUGGUGAAUAACAAAGUCUCGGUUUGGAUUGUAGGUUCUCAAGAUUGCACAACAAAGACACAUUGUAACCUGGUUCGGGAUCAACCAAGAAAUCCCCAUAGAUUUUCAUUAAGAUCUCAUCAGUGCCAUGU